UACGUAGGAUGCAAGCGUUGUCCGGAAUUACUGGGCGUAAAGGGCGCGCAGGCGGUUUGACAAGUCAGAUGUGAAAUACUUCGGCUUAACCGGAGGGGGUCGUUUGAAACUGUCAGACUAGAGUACAACAGAGGAUAGUGGAAUUCCCGGUGUAGCGGUGAAAUGCGUAGAGAUCGGGAAGAACAUCGGUGGCGAAGGCGCUCUGCUGGACCAUAACUGACACUCAGGGACGAAAGCUAGGGGAGCGAAUGGG
rnacentral:rRNA from 1 species